rnacentral:misc_RNA from 1 species
GAUGAAGAACGUAGCGAAAUGCGAUAAGUAAUGUGAAUUGCAGAAUUCAGUGAAUCAUCGAAUCUUUGAACGCACAUUGCGCCCCCCAGUAUUCUGGCGGGCAUGCCUGUUCGAGCGUCAUUUCAACCAUCAAGCCCUGCUUGUGUUGGGGUCCUGCGGCUGCCCGCAGGCCCUGAAAACCAGUGGCGGGCUCGCUAGUCACACCGAGCGCAGUAGCACAUCUCGCUCAGGGCGUGCGGCGGGCUCCAGCCGUUAAAGCACCCACCUUUCGCAAGGUUGACCUCGGAUCAGGUAAGAAUACCCGCUGAACUUAAGCAUAUCAAUAAGCGGAGGA